GUCGAACGAACCCUUCGGGGUUAGUGGCGGACGGGUGAGUAACACGUUAGUACCUGCCCUCUAGUGGGGGAUAACUGCCCGAAAGGGUAGCUAAUACCGCAUGUGAUCACUUGUGAUCAAAGCAGAAAUGCGCUAGAGGAGGGGCUUGCGUCUGAUUAGCUUGUUGGCGGGGUAAUGGCCCACCAAGGCGAUGAUCAGUAGCUGGUUCGAGAGGAUGACCAGCCACACUGGGACUGAGAUACGGCCCAGACUCCUACGGGAGGCAGCAGUGAGGAAUCUUCCGCAAUGGACGAAAGUCUGACGGAGCAACGCCGCGUGCAGGAUGACGGCCUUCGGGUUGUAAACUGCUUUUAUUUGGGAAGAUUAUGACGGUACCAAAUGAAUAAGGACCGGCUAACUACGUGCCAGCAGCCGCGGUAAUACGUAGGGUCCAAGCGUUAUCCGGAAUUACUGGGCGUAAAGAGUGCGUAGGCGGGUGUCUAAGUGCAAUGCGAAAUCCUAUGGCUCAACCAUGUGGACUGUAUUGCAUACUGGAUACCUAGAGGAAUGCAGAGGCAAGUGGAAUUACCGGUGUAGCAGUGAAAUGCGUAGAUAUCGGUAGGAACACCAAUGGCGAAGGCAGCUUGCUGGGCAUUAUCUGACGCUAAGGCACGAAAGCGUGGGGAGCGAACAGGAUUAGAUACCCUGGUAGUCCACGCCGUAAACGAUGCACACUAUUAGUAUGGAGUAUCGACCCUCUGUGCUGAGAAGCUAACGCGUUAAGUGUGCCGCCUGGGGAGUACGAUCGCAAGAUUAAAACUCAAAGGAAUUGACGGGGCUCCGCACAAGCAGUGGAUCAUGCGGUUUAAUUCGAUGAUACGCGAAGAACCUUACCAAGGCCUGACAUCCCUAUCGUACCCCUAGGAAACUAGGGGGUCAGUUCGGCUGGAUAGGUGACAGAUGCUGCAUGGCCGUCGUCAGCUCGUGUCGUGAGAUGUUGGGUUAAGUCCCGCAACGAGCGCAA
rnacentral:rRNA from 1 species